UCAUAAUUCUUGCUCUUUAGCACAUGGGGCUGAUGGAUGAUGUGGAUUUGCAAACUGAUAGGGUCUAAUUUAUAACAAAAAAGAGAAUUUAAUGCUCCCUUUAGCUGGGGAUGGAGGGAAGAAAGAAAGAAAAAAAAGGCAGUUUUCUCUCCCCUCCCAGACUCUGCAUUUUAAAAAGACAUGUAAAAAAGGGUUUUUAUAAUCAACGACAAGGCUAAAAUAUUCACAAAAGAUAUUUACAAUAUUGAUUCUUAAAAUAUUUGAUUUUGCAUAAUGAACAGCACUUUUUUCUUUAAAAAAGAGAGAGAACUGGAGCAAAAGUAAAACGUAAGGACAGGUCUACGUAAAAUAUCUGUAAAAAGUCAACACUUCUGUUGGAAAAGAAUAAAGGAACUAAAACUGCCAUUUCCUGUUUAGCUACAGCAAGAUGCUGUGGGUUAGCGCAUAUCUAUAUAUAUAUAUCUUUAUCUAUACAUAUAAGGAGAGAUAUAUAGAUAUCUAUAUGCAUUAUAUCUCAAAAUGCAUGUACAGCAGUGGCAGUAGAACAAAUGCUCCAAGAAUUUUCAAGCAUGACUUCAGCAGAGAGAACAAAUGCAGGAUGGAUGCAGAGUUUUUAUUUUAUCAUGCCAAUCAUUGGUAAGAUGAUGAUGAUGGAACUUACACAUAGAAACCAACAAGCCAGAGAACCCCUGGCCUAAAUCUGACAGCCUACUGUUGAAAUCAAAUAUAGAAAUAUUUGAUUUGAUUCUGGACAGGGAAGGAAGCAAUUGUAAUUUUUUAGGACGGAAGGAAGGAAGGAAGGAAGGAAGGAAGGAAGGAAGGAAGGAAGGAAGGAAGGAAGGAAGGAAGGAAGGAAGGAAGGAAGGAAGGAAGGAAGGAAAGAAAGGAGGGAGGGAGGGAGGGAAGGAAAGCAAUAUCUGUACACAGAAGGCAGAUGUUGAAACAGAAGUUAGGGAGAGGAGAGGAAGGGAUGAAGGAAAUAGACGAAGGAAGGAAGGAAAGCAAUAUCUGUACACAGAAGGCACAUGUUGAAACAGAUGUUGGCCUGCAACAAAGCAGAGUUGGCACACAUGCACUUUUUAAAACACAUAGUUUACUGUACAUAAUUUAUAAAAAGAGGACGACAGCACGAGAGUGGGCUCAGAAGUGACUGGAAGAUCAUGCAGGAAGGAAGCAACUGAGGGAGAAUCACAAAUGCCAGUGAAGCAUUCGGCAUGAGAAUUGGCAGGAAAAUUGCACCAGAAUGACUUCAAUUUUUCCCCCCCAUGCCCAAUAUCCUUGGAAAUUUACAGUGUUUUUAAAAAAAGAAAAUGAAGGAAGAAAGAAAGAAAAGAAGAGGGAGAAGUGCUGGCAGGUAAAAUGAUAAAACUCAAGAACAAAAGGAUGAGUCACAACACAGCCUGGAAAACCUAAGACAAGCACUUAGGGUUAUUUGGUGUUUCUCUUCAUAUAAACGCCUGUUUCAAUUCCUCAAACGAGUUUCUCCUCUCUUGGUUUGGAUGAAGUGGGAAGGGACAUCUGGUCAGUCAAAACACAAUCAAGAUUUUAGCUGUGACGUGAUGGAAA